rnacentral:rRNA from 1 species
AGUGAACGCUGGCGGUAGGCCUAACACAUGCAAGUCGAACGGCAGCACAGUAAGAGCUUGCUCUUACGGGUGGCGAGUGGCGGACGGGUGAGGAAUACAUCGGAAUCUACUUUUUCGUGGGGGAUAACGUAGGGAAACUUACGCUAAUACCGCAUACGACCUACGGGUGAAAGCAGUGGAUCUUCGGACCUUUCGCGAUUGAAUGAGCCGAUGCCGGAUUAGCUAGUUGGCGGGGUAAAGGCCCACCAAGGCAACGAUGCGUAGCUGAUCUGAGAGGGUGAGCGGCCACACUGGAACUGAGACACGGUCCAGACUCCUACGGGAGGCAGCAGUAGGGAAUCUUCCGCAAUGGGCGAAAGCCUGACGGAGCAACGCCGCGUGAGUGAUGAAGGUCUUCGGAUCGUAAAACUCUGUUAUUAGGGAAGAACAAAUGUGUAAGUAACUAUGCACGUCUUGACGGUACCUAAUCAGAAAGCCACGGCUAACUACGUG